AGUUCAUACUCUGAGGCCAGCUGACAUUAAAGUAGUCACUGCAUUAGGAAGUUUGCAAACACCACUGGGAUCCAGCAUUUAUCAUGAAGAUUUACUCCAAAGAACAGGAAAGAGCCUCCCUGAAGUAAGCGUGGAAAUUUUGGCAG